UGAACAGUGGCAUGCAGCGAGAUGAGGA
rnacentral:piRNA from 1 species